UUCGUUUGAGCUCUAGAACAGUGGUUAAAUUUGUCUUUACCGAGAGGUCCCUGCAAUUUUCUAAAAUUACAAACUAGUCCUCGGGAAAUUCCCUUUCUCUUCCUCCUCUGGCGCUGCUCUGUUCCUGCUCUGCAAUCCACCGCUGUGCCGACCGUUCUUGCCACCACCUGCUACAAAUUCUCCACGCGUCGCCCAGCUCUAGCUGAUCCAUUUUCCUUGCCGCUUUCCCUGUGGCCUUAUCCUCACGUUGCUUACUUCCUAUCCCUUUCUUCCUUAUCCUGUUCAAGCCAAGCUGAGCAAAUCCCACUGCCGUUCAGGCCAUCUCAGGCCACCGCGCCUCAAUUCCUCCCGCAAGCACCUGUGCUGUCUCCCUCUCGUGCACUGCAGCUCCUGUCCUCCUUCCACUCUCGUGCAUCUCCCACUGCAACCGCCGCCUGUUAUCUCCUCUUUUCUCCUUACUGUGCGCCGUCGCCCCUCUGUUCUUGCCGCCCCAACCAUCGCCCCUGGGUCCAAGCCGCUGCCCUGUACCGCGCGUCACCAGGGCAGUAGCGCCCUCCUGGCCUUGCCCAGCGUCGCGCCUGUACCUCCCCGGCCGGGGCAGCCGCGCCUCUGAGCUCCGCUUUCCCCCAACGCCGACGGCCCCUUCCAGUCCUUCCUGCACACUUUCUAAUCCCCAAAACGGACCCCUGGAGUGCUGCUCGACCCCACCCCGGCGACCAACUGAUAAGGGACCUCGUGCAGCAAUUUAAGCAAACUCAGGGGGUUUUCUGCGAAGCGUAGACCCAUAGAAACAAUCCGACUGCUUUUGCCGACGGUGUCUACAAGCUGAUCGUGGAUCGAGCCGUGAAAAUUCCUACAGAUCCCGGAACCAGAAGAAGGUUGUUCUGAAGACCUCAAGAACUUCAUCAGGGAAUUUUCGGAAGGCCCGAACCAAAGUUCGGACGUUAUUAACUUGACUAACCUCAGCCCCACCAGUAAAG